UAGGACAGACAACAACAACAAAAAAAGCCAAAGACGUUUAUACCCACAAAUACAGUAAUAUAACUUCUGAAAACCAAAGAUAUGUGAGAAAAUCAGGAAAACAGGCAAAAAAAAUGUAUUAUAUAUUGGGGAGCAAUGACGGUGGACUUCUCACCAGAAAUCAUGAAAACCAGGAGACACUGGAAUUCCUUUAACGUGCCCUCCCAUUCCCACACACACAAAAAGGCAACUUCUAAAACAAAUUCUUAUAUCCACUGGAAAUAUCCUUCGGGAACAACAGCAAAAAGAAAUUCUCAUAUGAAGAAAAUUUAGAGAAUUAAUUAACAGCAGAUCUGCCCUAAAAUAAGUGUUAAAAGGAAGUCCUUCAGACUGAGGAGAGAAUGCCAGAGGAAACUUAUAACGUCAAGAAUGAGGAUGGAGCGCCAGAAAUGUAUUCCAGCCUUUCUUCCCAUGGCAACCAAAUUCUAUUUUGUAUCCGGAGAGGAUCUUAAGCAGAAGAGUGUUCUAUCCAUCUCCUGGAAUUAUCCAGUCCCUGAUUGUUAUCUGUAUAGGAUCCUGAGCUCAAGCUUCACCAUCCUCCUUCACACUCAGCCCACACAGAUGGAACUAAGAAAUAUGGUGCUGGAAGCCGGGAACUUGCGCUGGCCUAAUAAGCAUGCACUUGACUGUGGCUUCACCCAAGUGGACUGACCCACAGCAAAAGCACGAGGACUAUCCACCUGAUGAAUUCACGGGACUCAGCUUGUGUCUGUGUGUAAGUCCUGGGGUCUUGGGUGUCAAAUGUCAGGCCUUGUACUGAGCUGUCAAAGAGAAGAAUGGGCUGAGAUGAUUGAUGACUGGGAGGCCUGAAACCCAAACCUCCACUGCAAAUGCUUCUUUUACAAAAAAGCUGGGGCUACCCACAGUGCCUAUAUUCAAGGUCACUUCGCAUGCCAUUACACCCACCGCGUCCGACUCCCAACAAGCCACGCCAUUCACACGGGGGCUGACUUCUCCUCUGAGCCUUCGCCCUCUCUCCCUUCCCGCCUCCUCUGUUCCUCUCACAAGCCCUUGCCCAAAUGUUGGAAUACUUAAUCCAAAUCAAAUAAAAAAAAAAAAAAGAUAAACAAAAA